rnacentral:tRNA from 1 species
GUUUUAUGCCGGAGUCCAACCCGGGCCGCCUGGGUGAGAGCCAGGAAUCCUGACCGCUAGACCACAUGGAA